rnacentral:rRNA from 1 species
GAUGAACGCUGGCGGCGUGCCUAAUACAUGCAAGUCGAGCGAAUGGAUUAAGAGCUUGCUCUUAUGAAGUUAGCGGCGGACGGGUGAGUAACACGUGGGUAACCUGCCCAUAAGACUGGGAUAACUCCGGGAAACCGGGGCUAAUACCGGAUAACAUUUUGAACCGCAUGGUUCGAAAUUGAAAGGCGGCUUCGGCUGUCACUUAUGGAUGGACCCGCGUCGCAUUAGCUAGUUGGUGAGGUAACGGCUCACCAAGGCAACGAUGCGUAGCCGACCUGAGAGGGUGCUCGGCCACACUGUGACUGAGACACGGCCCAGACUCCUACGGGAGGCAGCAGUAGGGAAUCUGCCGCAAUGGACGAAAGUCUGACGGAGCAACGCCGCGUGAGUGAUCAAGGCUUUCGGGUCGUAAAACUCUGUUGUUAGGGAAGAACAAGUGCUAGUUGAAUAAGCUGGCACCUUGACGGUACCUAACCAGAAAGCCACGGCUAACUACGUGCCAGCAGCCGCCGUAA